rnacentral:rRNA from 1 species
GACGAACGCUGGCGGCGUGCUUAACACAUGCAAGUCGAACGGAAAGGCCCUGCUUUUGUGGGGUGCUCGAGUGGCGAACGGGUGAGUAACACGUGAGUAACCUGCCCUUGACUUUGGGAUAACUUCAGGAAACUGGGGCUAAUACCGGAUAGGAGCUCCUGAUGCAUGGUGGGGGUUGGAAAGUUUCGGCGGUUGGGGAUGGUCUCGCGGUUUAUCAGCUUGUUGGUGGGGUAGUGGCUUACCAAGGCUUCGACGGGUAGCCGGCCCGAGAGGGUGACCGGCCACCUUGGGACUGAGGUACGGCCCAGACUCCUACGGGAGGCAGCAGUGGGAAAUAUUGCACAAUGAGCGGAAGCCUGAUGCAGCAACCCCGCGUGCGGGAUGACGUCCUUCGGGUUGUAAACCGCUUUCGCCUGUUACGAAGCGUGAGUGACGGUAAUGGGUAAAGAAGCACCGGCUAACUACGUG